CAGCCGCCGCGGUAAUACGAAGGGGGCUAGCGUUGCUCGGAAUUACUGGGCGUAAAGGGCGCGUAGGCGGACAUUUAAGUCAGAGGUGAAAGCCCAGGGCUCAACCUUGGAACUGCCUUUGAUACUGGAUGUCUAGAGUGCGGGAGAGGUGUGUGGAACUCCGAGUGUAGAGGUGAAAUUCGUAGAUAUUCGGAAGAACACCAGUGGCGAAGGCGACACACUGGCCCGUAACUGACGCUGAGGCGCGAAAGCGUGGGGAGCAAACAGGAUUAGAUACCCGCGUAGUCCCUGUCUCUUAUAC
rnacentral:rRNA from 1 species